GGAAAAAAAAGGAAAAUAUGACAAAUAAAAAAAUAUAAAUAAAAUAAUUACAAUAAUAAUAAUAUAAAUAAAUAUAAAUAGAUAAAAAAAAUGAUUCUAUAAAAAAAUAGAGAAAAAAGACCACAUCAUGCCAACACUCCCACAAAAGUUUUCCACCACCCUAACAGCCAGUAAUAGUGAGUACAUUUCUACUAACAAUGCACUGGAACCGUAAUUAAAUAAAUUGACAUUAUCUCGAUGAAUUACAAUCCAUCAAGAUAAUGACUAGUCAACAAACUUGAACGGUCUGUGGCAGUGUAGGUAGUGCCAAUAAUAAGAAAACUUCGCAUGAUAUGAUAGAGAUGCAACUACCUGAAAUAUACAAGAAGAAGUUCUCCUUGUGUUUUCAGGUAGUUGCAUCCCAAUGGACCUUUAACCUUAUAACUAAAAUUUUGAUCUAGACAACAAUUUCAUCACAGCUUGAAAGAGCA